GUCAGCUUAUUAUUACUCAUCUUUCUUAUUUAUUUCUUUAAACAGAAUCUACUCCAAAGAUUGACCAAAAAUCAUGGACAAGACCCGGCUAUCUUUCAUGGAGCAUUAGCAAUGGCAAAGAACUUAGAAAUCCUCUCUUUUGACACUUCCAUUUUAAAGACAGGAAACUGAAGCCCAGAAAGUCCUGAAGGCUGUCAUAACUGGUGAUUAGUGGCAGAGCUGGGACUUGAAUCUACUACUCUUUCAGCCCAUCCAUGCCAUGCUUAUCAUUAUGAAUGACCCAGUGAAACAUCCAUAUAGCAUUCCUCAGUGCCCCACUUUACCAGGAAGGUGCUCUCAUCAAUUGCAAUCUGACCUAAGCAAAAUUCUCACUGGUUCAAUGUUUCUGCAGACUGGCAUUAAUGGAAUAGGCAGUCAUGCUCAUCUAAUCAUGUCUUUCUUUAAAUAGCUUGGGCUGACAUGUUGUUUUCUGUCCAGAAGAUAGAUAGGCAAACACCAGCACAACUAGCAUUUAUCAAGUAUCUAUUAUAGGGCCCUCAAUGAGAUUAGGGUUUUUGUUUGCAUUAUUUUAACAUUAUCUUUAAUAGUCUAUGAGGUAUUGAAGUCUAUCUUAUAGCUAAUAAAUAAUGGAACCAAAGGCUAAAAUCCAGGACUUUUUUUAAAAAAAGCUAGGUCUAGGGCUCUUUCUCUGUGUUUUGCCUUCCAGGGUACGGCAGAAAAACCACUGAAUUUAUCCCAAAGACUGUAGCUUCUUUAGAAGCAAAAUAUGCCAAUAAAAUCUCGGUUUCCAGAGGGGGAGUCAAUGGAAAUCAAAUAAGAAUGUAUUUCAUUCUGUCAUCUCCUGACCUAUAAAACAGAGUUAGAAGACCAGACUCCUGGAGAGUUGCUGCCAUUAGGCCUUACAGGAGUCUCUGCUCAUUUCUCGUUGUUCCAGAUUUUUCAAUCUUGUCUUCAGGCCAGUUUCUUGAUCUCCUCUCAUCACAGCAGCACUCCAUCCUGUCCAAGCAUAAGAAAUCUGUGCUGUCUUGGACAGAUGACAGAACUUAGACUUUAAACCACUGAUUUUUUUGUGGUGGGCAUUUAGGAGUGCUAAAGCCAAAAAUAGAUGCUCAUUUAAAUCUAAGGGUUACUCUCCCAUCUUCUCACUUCCAUCUUAAUGUCACCUAGUUCUAAUCAGGGUCUACUGCUUAAUGCAGUAAGAGAAAAAUGAUGUUUUGUUUACAAUAGCAGGUCCCAUUGUGACUGUGUUCUUGUAGUGCAACUCUUUUCAAAGCAAAGUUUUCCCUGAGAUAGUGAGCUGAAAUAAAUAUAUAUCCCCUACUGCUGAUUCUUCUUUAUUUUUUUCUCUAAACAGAAAGGACAGUGCCAUUGAAAGCAUAAAAUGCACCUAAAAAAAUAUUCUUCAGUAAAGCCCAAUAGAAUCAAGGUGUGACAUCCCCAAGAACAGCCAAGUCACAAAAGAGCUAGUCAUGCUGAAGGCCAAGUUAAAUAACCCAUAAUUUUGGAUCUCUGGGUCCCACUAGCACCCUUGAGUGUGGGCUUAUAAAAUUCCUGAACGGGCAAGACGGCCCCUGUUGAAUCUUGCUUGACUUGGCCCCUUCAUGGGUAACUCUUCUGUGAUUUGGCUUUCCCCACACAUCUCACACCUUCCCACAAGUGACCUUUUCACUCUGUGCUUGGCUUUUCUGUGGUGGGUUAAGUGUCUGCACACAUUCACAUCAUCAUGUUCCCGAUGUGAAGAUGACAUGGUCAUACAUGCUAUUGAUCUCCAAAUAUUCAAAGGACAUUGAAGCUCUGCUCAGGCUCCUGCAGUCUUUUCUGGGAUAAGUAUGGAUAUAAGGAUAUGGCAAGAUGAUGAAUGCCCUACGUAUAUCUAUUGUUCUGAUUUGCGUAGCCCCUUGAGCUGCACAGCACUUCUUAUAAAAGUGAGCUUCCACAUGUCUAAUGGUGCUUAGUCCCUUAGACUCUAAAUCUUAGACCAUGUGUUGUUAUUUCAUACCACCCCAGAGCCAUUUCCUCUUAUAUAAAAUUUCCAGAAAUCCAUAGGCAUACUGCAUCACGUGGCAGUGGGCUUCUGCAUUUCCUUGGAGCAUUAUGACAGGCCACUCUAAUUAUAAUCACUGGUUGUCAGCUUAUCCUCUGUCUGUGUUAAGCAGUCUCACUUUCAACUACUCAUCGUCAUCUCCAGAAAGCCUCCCCUGAACUUUAGGCUGACCCAACUGCUCCCAUAGUAUCCAUAUUUACCUCUAUUUUGGCAUUUCCUCACUACAGUAAUUGUUUCUAUUUUUGGUCUGUCACCACAAUAGACACAUUAGAGCUCCUAAGUUGGAUGGACUAGCUCUCACUUAUCUGCAUAUUACCAACACUUAGCACUAUGUCCUGCAGAAAAUAUACAUUCAGUACAUAUUGGUGAGCCAUUGUUGAAGGUUUAGUUGAAUGGGUUAAGGUAAAAAUUAUUUCCAGGCCUGUGAAUUAAUUCUAUUCCAGAACUCUUUCUGUUGCCAAUAUUAGUGUGAUGAAAUAUUAAGUAUGACUUGUGUUGACACUCAGACAGAAGGACAUAUGGCCCACUAGAAUUGUCACUGCAAAAAGGCUAAUUAGUUUAACUCUCAAAGGGUAACUUUAUUUACCAUGCCUUUGUUGGAGGGGAGGUGUUGAAAGAAUGACUGACUUCCCCAUGCUUUCACCUUGUAGGAGACAAGGAAUUUGGCGGCCACAUAGAUUGGCCUUUAGUUUUGCCUAUACCUCAGUAUCCUUCAGUAUUAUCUUCCUUAAAUCUUCCCAAAAGUCUGUAUAAGGUUUCAUGGACAUUACCAAACUAAACUGCCUGAUAAGACGUAUGUACCCCUCAACCUCUGUUUCAACUUUUUAUCUAUCGUCUUCCCACCCUCCACUGAAACGCAAGCAUGCCUUUGUCUCA
rnacentral:lncRNA from 1 species